rnacentral:rRNA from 1 species
UUGCAGGCUGCAACCCGCCUGCAUGAAGUCGGAAUUGCUAGUAAUCGCGGAUCAGCAUGCCGCGGUGAAUACGUUCCCGGGCCUUGUACACACCGCCCGUCACACCAUGGGAGCCGGUAAUACCCGAAGUCAGUAGUCCAACCUCGUGAGGACGCUGCCGAAGGUAGGAUUGGCGACUGGGGUGAAGUCGUAACAAGGUAAC